GGCAGAGGGAAGGAGAAGAAGGAAAAAAAACCUAGGUGCAGGGCUGUUAUUCACGAAAUUAUUCAAGGUGUCAAGCCGGUCAAUUGGGAGGUGCCAAAACCGUAAGUUUAGCGUAUCUCGGUCGAUACAAAGGUAGCAGGUUGCUUAGAGUGGGUCCACUACCGGUCAUCGUGUUGAGGUGUUUUGCUAGCGUCAGGUGGGGUUUUGGUUGCGUUGUUGUGGAGUGCCUUAGCUGAUACAGAACUUUACUUGUAAGGAGUUGUAGCUAAGGAUAGUUAAAGUUUUUAAAUUGUAUGGGUUGUAAUUAUUUUUGGUCGAUGGUUGGUGUUCUAU